GGCGGUGUAGUUUAAAUGGUUAGAACACAAGAAUCAUAAUCUUGUUGCUGAAGGUUCAAGUCCUUUCAUCGUUA
rfam:PVC group bacterium (ex Bugula neritina AB1) isolate AB1-3 AB834_contig000086, whole genome shotgun sequence.